GACGAACGCUGGCGGCGUGCCUAAUACAUGCAAGUAGAACGCUGAAGCGAGGAGCUUACUCUUCUUGGAUGAGUUGCGAACGGGUGAGUAGCGCGUAGGUAACCUGCCUUGUAGCGGGGGAUAACUAUUGGAAACGAUAGCUAAUACCGCAUAACAAUGGAUGACACAUGUCAUUUAUUUGAAAGGGGCAAUUGCUCCACUACAAGAUGGACCUGCGUUGUAUUAGCUAGUAGGUGAGGUAAUGGCUCACCUAGGCGACGAUACAUAGCCGACCUGAGAGGGUGGUCGGCCACACUGGGACUGGGACACGGCCCAGGCUCCCAAGGGAGGGAGCAGUAGGGAAUCUUCGGCAAUGGGGGCAACGCUGACCGAGCAAAGCCGGGUGAGUGAAGGAGGUUUUCGGAUCGGAAAGCUCUGCUGUAAGUCAAGAACGGGUGUGAGAGUGGAAAGUUCACACUGUGACGGUAGCUUACCAGAAAGGGACGGCUAACUACGUG
rnacentral:rRNA from 1 species